ACAUAAAUCACCAAUUUCUCCAGUUUAAGUGUUGGAAAAUAUGAACAAGUUUCAAAUUUUAAUCCUCUUCACCCUUGCCCUUGUUUUUUUAAUGCCUAGAGAAAAUGAAGCAGAAAGGUUCUGUCUGUUGCCCCUAAAACCAGGCUUGGAUUGCAGCGACCCGAAAAAAUGCUAUUUCGCGUGUGAAAUUUUAUUCAGUCGGCAAUAUGAUCCAAAAAUAAUAAGAUCACUUUGUGCAUCAGAUUGCCUUUGCUUUCGAAUAUGCUAAUUAAUUUAAAGGGCAAUUUCCCAACCUUUGUGGCAGUCACAAUAUGAAUAAAAAGAUUUAUUUAUCGUAAUGGCAUGAAAAUGA